GCCCUCGUGGCCUAACGGAUAAGGCAUUGGUCUCCUAAACCGGGGAUCGCGGGUUCGAAUCUCGCGGAGGGUA
rnacentral:tRNA from 13 species